GAAGAACGCUGGCGGCGUGCUUAACACAUGCAAGUCGAAAGAAGUGGCGAACGGGUGAGUAAAGCGUAAUCAACCUGCCCUUCAGAGGGGGACAACAGGUGGAAACGACUGCUAAUACCGCAUAAUGAAGGAGGGGAUUGCGUCUGAUUAGUUAGUUGGAGGGGUAACGGCCCACCAGGGCGAUGAUCAGUAGCCGGUCUGAGAGGAUGAACGGCCACAUUGGUACUGAGAAACGGCCCAGACUCCUACGGGAUGCAUCAGUGGGGAAUCUUCCGCAAUGGACGAAAGUCUGACGGAGUAACGCAGCGUGAGUGAUGACGGCCUUCGGGUUGUAAAGCUCUUUUAAUCGGGACGCGGUACCGGAAUAGAAAGCCACGGCUAACUACGUGCCAGCCGCCGCGGUAAUUC
rnacentral:rRNA from 1 species